CACUGACCUUAAUAAUAUGCUAACAUUGCAUUAUAUUUCCUAUUUUUAAAUCAUGUGCGUUAGUAGUCUUUAUUUGUUACCCAUAUUUAGAGGAUGUAAUCUCCUUUUUUUCCCGGUGUUUCUUGGACAUUUGGCCUUCAGCUAUCAAUUAGAGCUGCAGGUGUUGGGUUAACCUUAACAGCUGCAAGUACCGUGAUAUUUGCGGAGCUGUCAUGGACUCCAGGGGACAUUAUUCAAGCUGAAGAUCGUGCUCAUAGGAUUGGGCAGGUUUCAGCAGUCAACAUAUAUUAUCUGCUAGCUAAUGACACAGUUGAUGACAUAAUAUGGGAUGUUCUCCAGAGCAAGCUGGAAAAUCUUGGACAGAUGCUUGAUGGAAAUGAGAAUUCAUUGGAGGUUUCUGCUAGCGAUUUAAAAAGCAGCCCUUCAAAGCAGGGACCAAAUUUCCCCUCAAGCAGCCCAGGAAAGCAGAAAACAUUAGACUCCUUUGUAAAACGGUGCAAUAACAUUCAAAAACACAAAGACGAGCCUAAUGCUAAACAAGCUAGGCACUGUUAAAAUGAUCAGAUGCUUGUGGCGAAAGAUAUAUGGUGCACCCUUUGAAAUAUGACAUAUUCCUUA